CCUACGGGUGGCAGCAGUGAGGAAUAUUGGUCAAUGGACGAGAGUCUGAACCAGCCAAGUAGCGUGAAGGAUGACUGCCCUAUGGGUUGUAAACUUCUUUUAUAUGGGAAUAAAAUGUUCCACGUGUGGGAUUUUGUGUGUAUCAUAUGAAUAAGGAUCGGCUAACUCCGUGCCAGCAGCCGCGGUAAUACGGCGGAUCCGAGCGUUAUCCGGAUUUAUUGGGUUUAAAGGGAGCGUAGGCGGGUUGUUAAGUCAGUUGGGAAAGUUUGCGGCUCAACCGUAAAAGUGCAGUUGAAACUGGCAGUCUUGAGUACAGGAGAGGUGGGCGGAAUGCGUGGUGUAGCGGUGAAAUGCUUAGAUAUCACGCAGAACUCCGAUUGCGAAGGCAGCUCACUGGACUGCGACUGACACUGAGGCUCGAAAGUGUGGGUAUCAAACAGGAUUAGAUACCCUAGUAGUC
rnacentral:rRNA from 1 species